UUAAUAUCUGUGAUGCCUGUAUAACAUGGGAGAUGUAAUUUUGCAAAGAUAUGGAGGGGCUGCUGUUCAGGGUAUUGCCCUUCUUUCUUGCUGAUAUAACAUAUUUAAACUUCAAUAAGAACUAUGUUGGAAUAUUUUAUCCAAAUGGUCCAGUCCUGAACUUCCCUCUCACGACUAAUGAUUUAGACUGCAGUUACUGCAUGUUGUUAUGCACUACAUUCAUAUGCUGUCAGACAUCAUAUGUCUCUCUAUACAUGUAUUUUCUAUCAUUCUGUUGACUCAAGUUGUAGUGA
rnacentral:lncRNA from 1 species